rnacentral:rRNA from 1 species
AGUCGAACGAUGAACCACUUCGGUGGGGAUUAGUGGCGAACGGGUGAGUAACACGUGGGCAAUCUGCCCUGCACUCUGGGACAAGCCCUGGAAACGGGGUCUAAUACCGGAUACGAGUUUCACAGGCAUCUGUGAUUCUGGAAAGCUCCGGCGGUGCAGGAUGAGCCCGCGGCCUAUCAGCUUGUUGGUGAGGUAACGGCUCACCAAGGCGACGACGGGUAGCCGGCCUGAGAGGGCGACCGGCCACACUGGGACUGAGACACGGCCCAGACUCCUACGGGAGGCAGCAGUGGGGAAUAUUGCACAAUGGGCGAAAGCCUGAUGCAGCGACGCCGCGUGAGGGAUGACGGCCUUCGGGUUGUAAACCUCUUUCAGCAGGGAAGAAGCGAGAGUGACGGUACCUGCAGAAGAAGCGCCGGCUAACUACGUGCCAGCAGCCGCGGUAAUACGUAGGGCGCAAGCGUUGUCCGGAAUUAUUGGGCGUAAAGAGCUCGUAGGCGGCUUGUCGCGUCGGUUGUGAAAGCCCGGGGCUUAACCCCGGGUCUGCAGUCGAUACGGGCAGGCUAGAGUUCGGUAGGGGAGAUCGGAAUUCCUGGUGUAGCGGUGAAAUGCGCAGAUAUCAGGAGGAACACCGGUGGCGAAGGCGGAUCUCUGGGCCGAUACUGACGCUGAGGAGCGAAAGCGUGGGGAGCGAA